UCCGGUUUGUCACCGGCAGUCUCAUUAGAGUGCCCAACUGAAUGUAGCAACUAAUGACAAGGGUUGCGCUCGUUGCGGGACUUAACCCAACAUCUCACGACACGAGCUGACGACAGCCAUGCAGCACCUGUGUUCCCGUUCCCUUUCGGGCACAGCCCCAUUUCUGGGGCCUCCAGGACAUGUCAAGGGUAGGUAAGGUUUUUCGCGUUGCUACCAUUCAGUUGAGCACUCUAGAGAGACUGCCCGUGUUAAACAGGAGGAAGGUGGGGAUGACGUGUCUAGGAGGGUG
rnacentral:misc_RNA from 1 species